rnacentral:rRNA from 1 species
CUAUGCCUACGGGGGGCAGCAGUGAGGAAUAUUGGUCAAUGGCCGGAAGGCUGAACCAGCCAAGCCGCGUGAAGGACGAAGGUGCCAAGCAUUGUAAACUUCUUUUGUCAAGGGACAAAAUCAGGCUCGAGAGCCUGACCGAGGGUACUUGAAGAAAAAGCACCGGCUAACUCCGUGCCAGCAGCCGCGGUAAUACGGAGGGUGCAAGCGUUACUCGGAAUCACUGGGCGUAAAGAGUGCGCAGGCGGGCUUGUAAGUCAGAUGUGAAAUCCUGUAGCUUAACUACAUAACUGCAUUUGAAACUU